CAGAGCGGUAGCAGCAUGGGAGUGUCGGAGCCACAUUCUGGAUUGCCAGGGAGCAAUUUAAAAGUCAGCUCCACCUUCAGGACAUGAACGGAAGGGAGUUAAUGGAAAACAGCAGGCUUCCAUUCUGCCUGCACCGUGAUGCCAGAAACAAGGGAGGGGGCAGACAUCAGAACUAUGCCCAUUUGAUCGAUGAGGAAACAGUUCAAGGGUGAACCAGCUGGCCAGUGUUCUGGAGCUGGUGCAGUACCAUCCGUCCCAUCACAUCACUGUUACAGGAUCAUUGACUGUGUUCCUUAUGCCGAGCCUAUGGCUUCCUUAUUCAUUCCAUAACUGGAAAACUGUGCCUCCCAC